rnacentral:rRNA from 1 species
UACGACGGGUGCAAGCGUUACUCGGAAUUACUGGGCGUAAAGGGUGCGUAGGUGGUUCUUUAAGUCUGCUGUGAAAUCCCCGGGCUCAACCUGGGAAUGGCAGUGGAUACUGGAGAGCUAGAGUGCGGUAGAGGGUAGUGGAAUUCCCGGUGUAGCAGUGAAAUGCGUAGAGAUCGGGAGGAACACCAGUGGCGAAGGCGGCUACCUGGACCAGCACUGACACUGAAGCACGAAAGCGUGGGGAGCAAACAGG